AAGUCUGAUGGAGCAACGCCGCGUGAGUGAAGAAGGGUUUCGGCUCGUAAAACUCUGUUGUUAAAGAAGAACAUAUCUGAGAGUAACUGUUCAGGUAUUGACGGUAUUUAACCAGAAAGCUACGGCUAACUACGUGCCAGCAGCCGCGGUAAUACGUAGGUGGCAAGCGUUGUCCGGAUUUAUUGGGCGUAAAGCGAGCGCAGGCGGUUUUUUAAGUCUGAUGUGAAAGCCUUCGGCUUAACCGAAGAAGUGCAUCGGAAACUGGGAAACUUGAGUGCAGAAGAGGACAGUGGAACUCCAUGUGUAGCGGUGAAAUGCGUAGAUAUAUGGAAGAACACCAGUGGCGAAGGCGGCUGUCUGGUCUGUAACUGACGCUGAGGCUCGAAAGUAUGGGUAGCAAACAGGAUUAGAUACCCUGGUAGUCCAUACCGUAAACGAUGAAUGCUAAGUGUUGGAAGGUUUCCGCCCUUCAGUGCUGCAGCUAACGCAUUAAGCAUUCCGCCUGGGGAGUACGGCCGCAAGGCUGAAACUCAAAGGAAUUGACGGGGGCCCGCACAAGCGGUGGAGCAUGUGGUUUAAUUCGAAGCUACGCGAAGAAC
rnacentral:rRNA from 2 species